CAAAAAUCCCACUGGACUUUAUUUACAUGCAGGCUUUAACCAACUUUGCUCUUUGUUUUAGUACAGGAAAAUUCAUGAAUUAAAACUUGAAAACACAAUAAAACAAUCACAAAACAAAUUAUCUUCAUUUCCGGUGUCAUCAGUGAAGCAUCAGAAUGAAAGUUCAAAUAAAGUUUUUGCUUCCCGUUGUUAAAAACAUGGUAACACACAACCCACCUCUGGGAGCACUGCGCCAUGAUUCCUUGGAGCAGAGAACACAGUAGGAGCACAUACACCUCUAAUCCCUACUUGACAACUGAGGGAAAUGGCCCGGUCAGCUGACUUGCCCAAGGACACCCAGGCAGUCAGAGGUAGGAGUCUCACCUAGUUCUGUGGUUUCCAGGAAUCAUAUCCAUGUGGUGUUCUACUCUGUUAUUUGAGAGCCCCCGGUUGACAGAACCAGUAGGACAGCUUGGGCAAGUAGGUCCCGGUCUGGCCUGUAGGGUAAGACACUGGCAGGCCUUCAGGUCUGGGGUUCAGGGCUGCAUUUAAAGUUACAGUGCUCAUCACUGGCCUCACUAAGAAUCCCCUGGUCUGACCCUGUUUUGAACAGGAAGUUGAACUCUUUGAAGAGUUGGGUGUUGGAUAUUUAGUUUUCUUCCUUCCUGACUCCUCCGAGCUUCUCAGCUGGCCUUCUUGGAUUCAUGCAGUUCCACAAUUGAAGUGUUGAUUAAAAACUGCCUUGAAGGGUUUCCCAGUUAUUUGGGGUGGGUUUCGUCCAGGGAAGGAAUGGCAAAUGGGUUGCACUUCAGGAAGACGUGCUAACAAUGAGCUCUAAUGAGGAUUCUGAGUCUGGAUUCAGCUGGAAAGAAGCGCUGUGACUGAUUAGUGAUGUCUGGCACAAGCUGGAGGUGGGUAGGGGGACGGUUGGGGUCAAUGUCACUUACUCUAGGUCUAGGUCAAGAGCAUGUGUAGGAAUGGGCCAAUUUCAGCCUGUGCCCUCCCCUCCACAAAUUCUUCCCUGUUAUAACCAGCACUGCACUGAUGCACAAUUGGGACUGUAUAAAUGCUUAGGGACUCGAUGCCUUACAGUAAGCCCCCACCCAGCCUUGUAGUUAAUGCCUGGAGAGAGGCACUAUCAGGCAGAACAUCACACCUGCAUGUCUACCUUCACUCCGCAGGCUUCCAGACACAUCCUAGGAUCCUGUCUGAGAAAACCAGAGCCCUCCUGCAGUAUCUAGUUGUCUAUGUCCAUUGUCCUCUCCUGACAGAAGCCCUAAAGACAGGCCGUGGGCUUCCUUCAGUGGUUAGCAAACAGAACCUUCUCGAGUUUUGAUCCUAACACAAAGAUAGCUCUAACCUUCCUUGCUAUGGUUUGAAGGGUUAGGAGUGGCCUUCCAGAACCGCUGGGAGGUCAGGGGCGUGCUAGACCAAGGGCCUCCUGGACGUCCCUUAUGUUCUCUUCACUGCCCAAGGUGGAGUCUGGCUGGUUUCCAUUUCCACGCCGUAGGGCUAUGAAAUCAGAGAGCACAAGCCUGGGCCCUUGCUGGCUGAAGUCGUCAUUCCACCCUUGAUCAAGAAUAAUUGAGCAAGAGCUGCUUCCAUGAUCCUGUCACACUCUAGCCAUGGGAUUUCUCAAUGGGGAUCUGGACACUUGGUGUUAACACUAGAGUUUGGCUGAGGAUUAGAGAAAACCUUUUUGCCUCCCUUUCCGUCCACACAACUGGAAAGAAACGACUCUUCCUUAUCCUUUCCAAGACUUCUGAGGGGCCAAACUUGGGUCACGUUCAG
rnacentral:lncRNA from 1 species